rnacentral:sRNA from 1 species
UUUGCGUUAGGGAUAGAAACGGUAUCCUUUUAUUUUUUUUCUUUAGAAAAAUAAAAGAUUUAGUGAAUAGCCCGACACUUG